GGCUGGUCUGAAGGUAGUGAGUUAUCUCAGUUGUUCAGUUAGUUACAGGUUGAACGCCUUGUUCUACUCUUUCCCCUUUUUCACUGCUGCACUUGACUAGUCUUUA
ensembl:Y_RNA Y_RNA Y RNA